rnacentral:rRNA from 1 species
UACAGAGGUCUCAAGCGUUGUUCGGAUUCAUUGGGCGUAAAGGGUGCGUAGGUGGCGCGCUAAGUCGGGUGUGAAAUCUCGGAGCUUAACUCCGAAAUUGCAUUCGAUACUGGCGUGCUUGAGGACUGGAGAGGAGACUGGAAUUCAUGGUGUAGCAGUGAAAUGCGUAGAGAUCAUGAGGAAGACCAGUGGCGAGGGCGGGUCUCUGGACAGUUCCUGACACUGAGGCACGAAGGCCAGGGGAGCAAACGGG